rnacentral:rRNA from 1 species
ACGUACGCUGGCGGCACGCCUAACACAUGCAAGUCGAACGAAGUAGCAAUACUUAGUGGCAGACGGGUGAGUAACAUGUAGGUAUCUGCCCUUUGGCCUGGAAUAACACGAGGAAACUUGUGCUAAUACCGGAUAAGUCUUUACGGAGAAAGCUUUAUGCACCAUUGGAUGAGCCUGCACUUGAUUAGUUUGUUGGUGGGGUAAUGGCUCACCAAGGCUACGAUCUUUAGCUGGUUUUAGAGGAUGAUCAGCAACACUGGGACUGAGACACGGCCCAGACUCCUACGGGAGGCAGCAGUGGGGAAUCUUAG